ACAAUCAUAAAAACGUGACGCUGUGAGAUUCAAAUUACCCGACUUCCUUUCACCAAAACUGCUAAUUUCUUUUUUUGAACCAAUUUGUCUCAAAACUCCAAAAUUAUCUUUUGAUUUUCCAGGUCUUUUUCUCCACCGGCCCAGAGCGCUGCUAUGAACUUUCCAGAACUGAAGAAGCCCCAAGAACGAUGUCGAAAUGAUGACCCAAUGACCUCUCCAGUGCAAUUUCGCAACCUUGGCGUGAAUGCAUGGAAAAUACAUCCCGCCUUCUAAGAACCACAUUUGACAUCCUAUUGAGAGUGGCGUGACCCACAUAAGUGCCGACAUGUUCCCCUUUGGUGUGCGGCUUGGCCGUUCCUCGCAGCGCCGGCGAGCGCCCCCCCUUCCAAUCCCAGCCUCUGAUCUCUGACACCCGCCAGCUGUCACGUAUCUGAGAGGACGUGAGUCACUUUUGGGAACUGAAUCUGAAGCGACUUCAGGUAGGGUCCAGCCAAAGUCAUCUUGAGAAAACGCACACUCGUGUCAUGUCCGUUGAGCAUCAGAUUACGCAACUGUUUAUUGAGUCGGCCUUUUCAAACGAGGCCUUGACCGAAACAUGGAUAACACAAAUGUCUUAGACACCUCGUACGUUCGCUCACGUCAAAUGUCACGUAGCGCCGCAUGAAACAUACGUCACCUGGUCCUCCAAUGACCAGCGAGAUAUUUGUCACCUUCCCGCACACACGUACGACUCUUUGCAGCCUUGCCGCGUCAUGUGUCUCCCUUCACUGUAUUAAUACACGCAGGGAGAUGCCAGCCAACCAAAAGCUUGCACCUUAUGUCAUCUCUCGCUCUCUCAUACACAGACAACCACUUCGAUCUAUAUUUUUCUUAACCAUAAAUCACUUUCUUGCUAUGUCAUGCUACUAUUCAAUGAUGUUGACGUUUAUGGGUGUGCUAACACAACAAUGUUUUACCUGACUGGUUUUACACAAAUCCUGCUUUGUCCUUUCUUGUGAUAACUACUCAUGAUUCAUCACAUGAUUCUAUUGGUUAUUGUAUAGUACUCAGAACUGAAUGUGUUCCUGGUAAGAGCAAUUGUAAAUAGCUUCUGGGCUCGUCCUUGAGGAGAGCUCCGAUAUCUGAAUGUAGUAAGGAGGCGACUCGUUGACUCGUAGGCCCUCGAGGCAAAAAAUGCAAACGGUGGUCGCUAUUUAUUCGGUUCAUUUACGCCAGGGGUGUCAAAUUCAUUUUUUUCGCGGGCCGCAGCGUAGUC